UUCAUCAAAUUUCGAAAACGUUAAAAAAACAUUCAAAAACGUUUAAGAAAACAUUUGAAAGCGUUUAAGAAACAUAUAUGUUUCUUAAACAUAUCUUUUAUUUGUCCCGAGGAAGGUUUUUACCGAUUUACUCCUGAGGGCUUGUAGCUCAGUUGGUUAGAGCGCGCGCUUGAUAAGCGUGAGGUCGGAGGUUCAAGUCCUCCCAGGCCCACCAGUUUAUGAUUGCUGAUAAAGUUUUUUGCGAAUGUUUUGGUGGUUUUUGAUCUUGCAAUCUUUCAUUUUUAUGCUGCAAUCUUUCAAAAGUAUUUGGGCUGUUUUAGGGGCCGUAGCUCAGCUGGGAGAGCACCUGCUUUGCAAGCA
rnacentral:tRNA from 1 species